rnacentral:rRNA from 1 species
UACGGAGGAUGCGAGCGUUAUCCGGAUUUAUUGGGUUUAAAGGGUGCGUAGGCGGGAUGCCAAGUCAGCGGUAAAAAUGCGGUGCUCAACGCCGUCGAGCCGUUGAAACUGGCGUUCUUGAGUGGGCGAGAAGUAUGCGGAAUGCGUGGUGUAGCGGUGAAAUGCAUAGACAUCACGCAGAACUCCGAUUGCGAAGGCAGCAUACCGGCGCCCUACUGACGCUGAGGUACGAAAGCGUGGGUAUCGAACAGG